rnacentral:lncRNA from 1 species
CUCAAUUUUUAUAGAAUGGCAUUAUAGACACCCAGCUGAAAAAUUGUGUAAAUGGUCAACUGAAGGCUAGUUGGCGACUGUGCCAUGAUUGGUCUCAGUGUAACUCCUAUGAAUGCAAGAUAAAUUGCGGUCUAUUUAGGGGUGAAUGGAAAGUGAAAAGGUAAUAUGUGGACAUUUAGACUCAUGUUAUUUCUUACAGAAGUUUGGUUGGGAAUGAAAAGAUACUGGGUAAAAGCUAGAGGAAGGUUAUAGUCAAGAUGUUUUGUUUGGAGUCCGGGUUUUUUUCUGUUGUUAUUUUUACCGUUGUUGUUGCAGGUUGUUAAUGGGAUAUCUAAGUAUGUCUACUUGUUGGGGAGAAAGAUUCACUAAGAGUGGGAAUACUCGAUGGGGAUAGAAUCAGUGGAAUAGAAAAGCAGGAAGGAAUGGCUCCAAAAGGAGAGGAGGGACUGACCUGCCCUCAUAAAUCCACAUAUUUGGAUUAUGUCCUUUCACCACAGAGUGUCCUGUAACAACUCAAACUCUCCUCAUUAGAACACUGUUUUUUCCUCAAAGGAUUAGGGCUUUUGUCCCGUUUAAUUGUCUACCCCAGUCAGCACCACUCUGGCCGUUGGUGGACACUGUGGAGGCCCUGGAAGCAUCUCAUGGUAAUAUUCGGGAGCAGCAGUGAUUCUGAUGAACAUGGACGGAGACACUCAAGCCUUCUUUCAGGACUCCUCAUUCAUGCAUAUGCAUGCUGUCUUCCAUUAUUGCACACUGAUCCUUGUAUCGAUACCAGUCCUACCGAACAACUCACGGCGGAGAGCCUGCAUACACAUUGGAAAGGGUGAGGGCAAGAGUUACAUGACCUUCCUGGAAUUUCAUACAAAAUUCGGUGUGUAUGUUCAGAGGCAGAUGUAUUUAUUAAAGCAUUCUCUACAUUCAUCAUACGUUUAAGGUGAUCUGUGAGCCAAAAGGUUUUUAUAAACAAUUAAAGGAGAAGAAGGUUGUCUGUACUUACUCUUGGCUAAUACCAAUGUCUAAUUCAAUGGCGAGGAUACUGGCUAAUGAAAUACAAGUGAUAGUCACAGCUUACCUCAAGGAUCCACUCACUGCAGUGCUCUUUCAUCCGGAAGAGUUCAACAAACAUUAUUGGGUACUUACUUGGGGGCCAGACACUGGGCUGGAAGUAAGAUGCAGAAAUAUAAAAUACCACCCUGUGUUCCAGGAGCUCAGUCUUGUUAGGAAGGCAAACGUGUAGAUAAGAGUUUAAUUUCAAAUACUUGUGUAUGUAUAUACACGUGUAUAUAGUAAAUGUCUGAAUUGCCUAUUAUAAUAUGGUAUGAAUAAGUGAGGGAAAGUUGUCUCUGCCUUGAAAAUCCAAGAGGAUUUCUGGAUUAGAGGCUGAGUAGAAAUGUAAAGAGAAAAGAUAUGAUUAAGGGUGCUUUCAUAAUGAAAGUGGUGCAAACAGUUCCAGGAAAAGACACAGUGUGAGAGGUGCAGUAGAGUCACAGAAACAGCAGCUUGGUUUCUGUCGGUCGUGAUUUUCCAGGGAGAGAUGAGAAGAGGUGAAAGUAGAGGCUUAUGGUAGAGACCCGUUCUUACAUGCUAGAGGGUGUAUAUGCUUCCAGUCGAAAUGGGUCUCUGAAGAGUGUUGAGAAGGAGCGCGGCGUGAGCGAGAUGAUAGUUUUGGUAGAUGGUAGUGGGAGAGUGGAUUCGAGGGGACCUGGGACGAGAGGAAGUGACUAAAAUUGCAGCAUUGCAGAUCUUUCAAGCAAGAGACGACACUGAUUCAAGGGAUUUGAAUUAUUCGAAACAUUUUUGUGGAGGAAAAAAUCUUCAGACAUCUACUGGGGAAAGGAAGUCUCCGCUUGGUGGAAAAUGGCCCCAUACAUGGAACAGGAGCCAGGAGGGGGAUGGUUAGGGCAGAGCAGCAGGAGAGGAGAGGGACAUCCUU